GAGGUUGGGCCUUAAAGCGCUAGAAAGGGCAGCGAAUACACCGACCCAGCCAGAAAUGAGAGAUAGAUCAUCGAUCUAUGCAUAGAAAAGGGCAUCCCCUUUCAAUCUCUCUCUCUCUCGGAAUAGCUUCACAAGAUCCCAGCCCCUUCACUGGCUGCUUUGGUGCUUCCUUUUGAUUUUGGUUUUUUGUGAAUUCGCAUAGAAAAUAUUUGAGCUUUUUAGGGGGUUUUCACAUCAUGUUAGGUUCAUUGCCGAUACUGCCUCUCCCUGCUCCUCCUUCUGAUGGAAAUCUCGGUCCUCUCCCUGAGUCUCAGCUCCCUCAGGACGAUAGGGAGGAGGAGAACAAGUCGAAUUCAGCUCCUCCUCCGCCGCCUGCAACGGUUGCUACCCAUACUAGAACUAUAGGAAUUAUACACCCCCCUCCUGACAUUAGAACCAUCGUUGAUAAAACUUCCCAGUUUGUUGCCAAGAAUGGUCCCGAAUUUGAGAAGAGGAUUAUUGCAAAUAACACUGGCAAUGUCAAGUUCAAUUUCCUCAACGCAUCAGAUCCCUAUCAUGCGUAUUAUCAACACCGUUUGGCUGAAUUUCGUGCUCAGAAUCAAUCUUCUGGUGCCCAACCACCUUUGCAGCCUCCUGACUCGUCUGUUCCUGAAUCUGCACCCUCUGCACCGGCCCCUGAUAGCAAUGGCACAGUGGCAGUUGAAAAGCCUGAUAUUUCUGCCCAGUUUAGACCUGUUAAGAAAGUGCUUGAACCCCCUGAAGCCGAGCAGUACACUGUUCGGCUUCCCGAAGGAAUUACAGGUGAAGAGCUGGAUAUCAUAAAGCUUACGGCACAGUUUGUGGCUCGAAAUGGGAAAUCUUUUUUGACAGGAUUAACUAGUAGGGAAGUUAAUAACCCACAGUUCCAUUUCUUGAAACCAACCCACAGCAUGUUUACGUUCUUUACAUCCCUUGCGGAUGCAUAUUCAAAGGUUUUGAUGCCUCCAAAGGGUUUGACAGAGAAGCUGAAGAAGAGUGUUCCUGACAUGACAACUGUCCUUGAGAGGUGUGUGAAUAGGCUAGAAUGGGAGCGUUCACAAGAGCAAGCCAGGCAAAAAGCCGAGGAUGAGAUAGAGCAGGAAAGGAUACAGAUGGCUAUGAUUGAUUGGCAUGACUUUGUGGUGGUUGAAACGAUAGACUUUGUUGAUGAUGAGGAUGAAGAGUUACCUCCUCCAAUGACCAUUGAAGAGGUUAUUAGGAGAAGCAAGGUGUCAGCCUCAGAAGAAGAUAUUGUAGAGCCAGGAAAGGAGGUAGAAAUGGAAAUGGACGAGGAGGAGGCACAGCUUGUUGCAGAGGGCUUGGGAAAAGCUAGUUUAGAAGACAAGGAUGAUGAGAGAAAUGAAGCCAUGGUUACUGAAGAACCUGAGCCACCAAUGAAAAUUGUGAAGAACUGGAAAAGACCAGAGGAGAGGAUUUCUGCAGAAAGAGAUCCAACCAAGUUUGUUGUUUCUCCUAUCACCGGUGAACUGAUUCCUAUUAGUGAAAUGUCAGAACAUAUGCGAAUUUCCCUUAUUGAUCCCAAGUACAAGGAACAGAAAGAAAGGAUGUUUGCCAAAAUUCGAGAGACAACUCUGGCUCAGGAUGAUGAAAUUUCAAGAAACAUUGUCGGACUUGCUAGAACCCGUCCUGAUAUCUUUGGUACAACAGAGGAAGAAGUUUCGAAUGCGGUCAAGGCAGAGAUUGAGAAGAAAAAUGACGAGCAACCUAAGCAAGUUAUAUGGGAUGGUCACACCGGUAGUAUUGGCCGCACUGCAAAUAUAGCCUUGUCUCAGAAUAUGGGUGGUGAGGAUCAAAAUGAUCCAUCUAAUAAUGAAGCCAAGAACCUUCCUGGUCCUGCUGCACCUCCUCCUAGGCCUGGUAUGCCUUCAAUUCGGCCUCUUCCACCACCAGCUGGAUUAGCAUUGAAUCAUCUUCCCCGUUUUCCUCCCAAUGUAGUCCAGUAUUCUGCUCCAAACAGUGGUGGACUUUCUGUUCCUCCGCCUAGGCCACCAGUAAUGUCCAUGAUGCAAUCUAUGCAAUCUAAUCCUAACAUUCGGCCAGCCCCACCUCCUCCUAUGCCAAUGUCUUCUGGGCAGCAGUCGGUUAUGGCUGGUCAACCACCCCCAAUGCCUCCAUCAAUUCCUAUGAAUAGCCAAGGAAUUCCCAUACCUCCACCUCCAGGAUCUCAGUACACUCCUAUACCUGUUCCCCGACCUUUUGUUCCUUUCUCUGUCCCACCAUCAGGUAUGCCUAUGAUGCAUCCACCACCUAUGCCUCAAGGAGUGCCACCACCGCCACCACCACCUGAAGAAGCUCCUCCCCCACUUCCAGAGGAACCAGAGCCAAAGAGGCAGAAGCUUGAUGAUUCUGCACUGAUUCCUGAAGAUCAAUUUCUGGCUCAACAUCCGGGACCUCUCCGGAUCAGUGUGUCUGUUCCAAACCAUGAUGAAGGAAAUCUUAAAGGACAAGUUCUGGAAAUUACAGUGCAAUCUCUGUCUGAAACUGUUGGCAGUCUGAAGGAAAAGAUUGCAGGGGAGAUACAACUCCCUGCUAACAAGCAGAAAUUAAGCGGAAAACCAGGCUUUCUCAAGGAUAAUAUGUCUCUUGCCCAUUACAAUGUUGGUGGAGGAGAAAUACUUACUCUCAGCUUAAGAGAGCGUGGUGGUAGAAAGAGAUGAGCAUACUAGUUGUUGUCAUUUCAAGAAGGUUGUUGUAACCUUAACUCCCUCUUUGAGGAAUAUGGAUCCUCAUAUUAUUGAUAGACUACAUGUUGUUAUCUUAGAAUUUUAUGUUGGAUACAUUAUAUUUGCUGUAUUGUGAGGUUUUUUUUGAAGUUUUUAUUGUUGUCUUAGAAACUGAUGAUAAUUCUGGAAUACAGAUUUUGGCACCUUGGCGCAGGUCUCAAGGGGAAUGGGAAGUAGUGGAGUUCCUUUAUCUAACCUGCUCAAGCUAAACAUUUUGCAUCACUGAUUAUUGUUUACUCUUGCAUUUCAGUUUAUGUGGUUUUUUUGCAAGGUUACUGAUUUAUUUUUAUAUGAAGCUUCUUUGCGGUCGGGGACAGGAAUCAUGAGUGUUUAUUUCUGAAAAUUCUACCUGGACUGUAGGAAGUGCUGUGCAGCUAGGCUGAUAUGUCUUAAUGGGUUCAGAAUGAAGAUGGUUUGGUAUUUUAUAGCAAGGCUCUCGUUCAUGUGUAAUCAAUCUUCCUGGCCUAUGAAUAUUCAGGAUUACUUGAUGCCAAAACUUGAUUAAGAUUUAUCUGGUAGUUAUGUUAUAAUGAGUUCUUUAAAGGGUUAUAUAAACUACUUUUACUGUGUCCA